AAUUAAUUAAUUAUUAAUAUUUUAUUUUUUAUUUUAAUAAAAAUAAUUUUAUUUAUUUUAUUUUAAGUAUUUAUUAAAGAAAAAAUUUUUUAAAUUAUAGUUUAUUAGUAUUGUAAAAGAAUUUUGUAAUAAAAUUUUAUUAAAUAAAAGUAUAAUUAUUUUUUUGUACCUUGUGUAUCAGGGUUUAUUAAAUAAUUAUUAUAAAUUUUAAUUUUCCCGAUUUUAAGAGAGAGAAUAAAUUAUGUUUUUUAUUGUAAAAAAAAUAUUUAUAAUAAUUUAUUAGUAAUGAAAAGUUAUUCGUUCUUAAAUAUAUCUGGUUUAUUUAGAAAUAAAUUUAAUUUAGUUUAUAAAAUUUUAUUAAUUUAUUUUUUUAAAUUAAUAGAUUUUUUAAAUAUUAAUUAAAGGGAUAAGCUUUUAAUUAAAUUUCUAAAAUUAUUUUAAGUUAAUAUAAAAAUAUAUAGGUUUAGAAAUAUUUUUUUUUAAUAAUUUGUUAUAAUUAAUUUUUAUUAAAAUAUUAUUUUAAAUAAAUUUAGUUUUUUAUAAAUAAAUUUCAUUAAAUAUUUAAAUGUAAGAUAUAAUGAUAAAAUUAGUAUUUAUUUAUAAAUGUUUAUAUAAUAUAUUUUAUAAGAUUAUUUAAAGGAAUUCGGCAAUUUUUUUAUUCGCCUGUUUAACAAAAACAUGUCCUUUAGGUUCAAUAAUUUAAGGUCUAACCUGCCCACUGAAAUAUUUUAAAUGGCCGCAGUAAAUUGACUGUGCAAAGGUAGCAUAAUCAUUAGUUUUUUAAUUAAAAGCUUGUAUGAAUGGUUUGACGAAAUAAAAUCUGUCUCUAAAUAAUAAUAAGAAUUUAAUUUUUAAGUUAAAAAGCUUAAAUAUAAUUAAAAGACGAGAAGACCCUAUAGAUCUUUAUAUUAAAUUUUAUAUUAUUAUUAAGGAUUUUUUAAUUUUAUUAUUAAAUUUAUUAUUUUAUUGGGGUAAUAGAAAGAUUAAAUAAAUUCUUUUUAAAUUUGUACAUAGAUAAUUGUUUUAAUGAUCCUUUAUUAAAGAUAAUAAGAUUAAGUUACCUUAGGGAUAACAGCGUAAUUUUUUUGGAGAGUUCAUAUCGAUAAAAAAGUUUGCGACCUCGAUGUUGGAUUAAAAAUUAUUCCAGGUGUAGAAGUUUGGAAAUUUUGGUCUGUUCGACCAUUAAAUUUUUACAUGAUCUGAGUUCAGACCGGUGUAAGCCAGGUCGGUUUCUAUCUUUAUUUAAUUAUUAUAUUUUAGUACGAAAGGACCAAAUAUAAAAUAUAUUUAUAUUUAAAUUUUGAAUAUUAUU
rnacentral:rRNA from 1 species